rnacentral:rRNA from 1 species
UACGUAGGGGGCAAGCGUUGUCCGGAAUCAUUGGGCGUAAAGAGCGUGUAGGCGGCUCGGUAAGUCCGCUGUGAAAGUCCAGGGCUCAACCCUGGAAUGCCGGUGGAAACUGUCGAGCUAGAGUCCGGAAGGGGCGAGUGGAACUCCUGGUGUAGCGGUGAAAUGCGCAGAUAUCAGGAAGAACACCAAUGGCGAAGGCAGUUCUCUGGGACGGUACUGACGCUGAGACGCGAAAGCGUGGGGAGCGAACAGG